rnacentral:rRNA from 1 species
UUAUAUGAGAGUUUGAUCCUGGCUCAGGAUGAACGCCGGCGGUGUGCCUAAUACAUGCAAGUCGAACGCGUUGGCCCAAUUGAUUGAUGGUGCUUGCACCUGAUUGAUUUUGGUUGCCAACGAGUGGCGGACGGGUGAGUAACA